AAUGUACUAAUAAGCUGUUCUCAGAAACCUGAAAUAUUUCUAUUUUUUUCUCCUUGAUUUCAAGCACAAACUGGAGACUGAAGCUUGUGCGUUCCUUAAGCCUGGAGUGUGCUUGGAUCUCUGGCUUGGUUUAUUCCCACAUCCUGAUUUAAUUGUUAACUUAAGAUGAAGAUGGGAAAGGACACGUAGACUACUCUGCAAUAUCUUCCCAGGAAGAGUAAAGGAACUGAAGAAGCCAGGAAUGAGGUAGACAAAAUUCUUCCUUUAAAAAAACAACAGCAUUAGUUUAAUUAUUUGGAGAAAAAUAAGAAUCUAGAACAAAUGCUCUAGCUGU
rnacentral:lncRNA from 1 species